AUAAAUACGACUAUUUAUUAUAUGGAUUAUGACUGAGAAUCUCAAUACUAUUGAAUCAUAAUGACAGAGUUGUCCAAAAUUCUGACUUUCACUAAAACCAUUCAACUUUCUAUUAGAACUCCUAAGCUAUGGAUAUUAAGGAGUAUGAACAUGCUAUCUAUGAACAGUAAAUUAGAACAAAAUGGCCAUAAAGCCCUGUUCUGGUAUUAAUCAUAAAAUGGAAAAUCCCUGUUUUAGAUUAAAAUUAAAAAAAUAAAUACAACAAUACAAUAACAAUAACAAUAACAAU
rnacentral:misc_RNA from 1 species